UUGACAGCUUCAGACAAUGAAGCGCUCUGUUUAUCCACAGGACAGGGACAGCACAGCCCUGUGCGAGUAUCCCUACGCUGCCCCACCAUUGUGCCUCAAUCCUGACAUGGGCAGGCCACCUCUUGGAGUAAGCAGGUAGCUUAGGCCCAUAUCCUACAAAAGUCUACG
rnacentral:sRNA from 1 species